GACGAACGCUGGCGGCGUGCCUAAUACAUGCAAGUAGAACGCACAGUUUAUACCGUAGCUUGCUACACCAUAGACUGUGAGUUGCGAACGGGUGAGUAACGCGUAGGUAACCUGCCUGGUAGCGGGGGAUAACUAUUGGAAACGAUAGCUAAUACCGCAUAAUAUUAAUUAUUGCAUGAUAAUUAAUUGAAAGGUGCAAUUGCACCACUACCAGAUGGACCUGCGUUGUAUUAGCUAGUAGGUGAGGUAACGGCUCACCUAGGCGACGAUACAUAGCCGACCUGAGAGGGUGAUCGGCCACACUGGGACUGAGACACGGCCCAGACUCCUACGGGAGGCAGCAGUAGGGAAUCUUCGGCAAUGGACGAAAGUCUGACCGAGCAACGCCGCGUGAGUGAAGAAGGUUUUCGGAUCGUAAAGCUCUGUUGUAAGAGAAGAACGGGUGUGAGAGUGGAAAGUUCACAAUGUGACGGUAUCUUAACAGAAAGGGACGGCUAACUACGUG
rnacentral:rRNA from 1 species